rnacentral:rRNA from 1 species
CAACGACUCUCGGCAACGGAUAUCUCGGCUCUCGCAUCGAUGAAGAACGUAGCGAAAUGCGAUACUUGGUGUGAAUUGCAGAAUCCCGUGAACCAUCGAGUCUUUGAACGCAAGUUGCGCCCCAAGCUGUUAGGCUGAGGGCACGUCUGCCUGGGUGUCACG